UCUGAGCAGCAGGGCAUUUAGAG
rnacentral:misc_RNA from 1 species